rnacentral:rRNA from 1 species
AAUCUGCCUUCAGGAUGGGGAUAACAGGAGAGAAAUCGCUGCUAAAACCCAAUGUGCCGAGAGGUGAAAUAUUAAUAGCCUGAAGAGGAGCUCGCGUCCGAUUAUGUUAGUUGGUGUGGGUAAAGGCCUACCAAGGCAGUGAUCGGUAGCUGGUCUGAGAGGAUGAGCAGCCACACUGGGACUGAGACACGGCCCAGACUCCUACGGGAGGCAGCAGUGGGGAAUUUUCCGCAAUGGGCGAAAGCCUGACGGAGCAAUACCGCGCUGAGGGAGGAAGGCUUUUGGGUUGUAAACCUCUUUUUUAAAGGAAGAAGAAAGUGACGGUACUUUAAGAAUAAGCAUCGGCUAACUCCGUGCCAGCAGCCGCGUAAUACGCGAGGAUGCAAGCGUUAUCCGGAAUCAUUGGGCGUAAAGCGUCCGCAGGUGGUUAAUCAAGUCUGCUGUUAAAGACAGAAGCUCAACUUCUGAUGGGCAGUGGAAACUGGUAAACUGGAGUACGGUAGGGGUUGAGGGAAUUCCCAGUGUAGCGGUGAAAUGCGUAGAUAUUGGGAAGAACACCAGUGGCGAAGGCGCUCAACUGGGCCGUAACUGACACUCAGGGACGAAAGCUAGGGUAGCG